rnacentral:rRNA from 1 species
UACGUAGGGUGCGAGCGUUGUCCGGAAUUACUGGGCGUAAAGAGCUCGUAGGUGGUUUGUCGCGUUGUUCGUGAAAUUCCCUGGCUUAACUGGGGGCGUGCGGGCGAUACGGGCAGACUGGAGUACUGCAGGGGAGACUGGAAUUCCUGGUGUAGCGGUGAAAUGCGUAGAUAUCAGGAGGAACACCUGCGGUGUAGACAGCUUUCUGGACCAUCACUGACGCUGAGACACGAAAGCGUGGGUAGCAAACAG